CGCGACCCCAAGUCAGGCGAGGUUACCCGCUGAAUUUAA
rnacentral:rRNA from 1 species